rnacentral:lncRNA from 7 species
AAAUCCUGUUGUGAUUCAGGGAGGAGGAGGAGGUAAUUUGGAGGCUGAUAAAUGAACAGGUAAACAAACUAUACAGGCUAUGAUUACUUUCGAGGAAAUCUACUUUAGAACAUAUUGAUUAAAGGAAAUAUGGCUUCUGAAAAUAAGAUCACCUGGAGGAUUUUGCAGCUCUUCACACUAUACAGCAAUGGGCAGUGUAAAAGCAGCACUUUCUUUAAAUCUUUAAUACUUUCCUUUAAAAAACAAAAACGAAAAACACGGCAUUUGGAGGUACAUGUAAAGGAAGAGAUGACUGCCAUGACCUGAGACCUGAAUGUUGCUUAGAUUUGUACAAAUUGAUGGAUUUAAUUCUACUUGGACUCUUGUUAAGAUAUAGUAACACACAGUGGGUUAGAUUUUGAUUUUUUUUUUCCUUCCAAGUUAACACCAGUGUAAAUAGGAAACAUGCACUGCAAGUGAACAAAAUUGGAGGGGGUGGGGGGGGUGUUUCUAUAGAAUCCAAAUGUGGAUAUAAGCAGCCACAGAUCCAUUAUCUGAAGUGGUUAUGUCAUCUUACACCAGCAGAAAACUGAGCCCACUAUAUUUGAUUCCUAAAUCUCACCUUAUAUCAGAUGUUUAAAGGUUCAGAUGGAUAAGAUAUGUCUCUGUACAGUGUGCUUUAAAUUAAAAGCUAGUGAAAAACACAUCUCUUGAUUUCUGGAUGACAGUCUUGGAAAAUGUUUCAACUGGUAGCUGCCCUUGUCCUGUUUUACUCCACCCUCAUCAAGGAAACCAGUAUCCAGCAAUGUAGGAGCUGAUAUUCUCAACAAAAACAAUAACCUCUCUUCUGUUCAUCUUCCUUGCUCUGUUUUGGUUACUGAGAGGUGGCCUUGAAAGGGCAGCAUGUUUAAGGCAGAAAUAUUUCUUGAGGCUAUGGGGAGGAUGUUCUCUUGUUUGAAGGAAACCAAGGCUUCCAACUGAUUUUAAUUUUAUUUUUAAUGUUCAUGGGAACCAGUCUUACAUGCCUGGCUGAAUUCAGACUUUGGAUUUUUGGCAGGUUUUUAUUUGAGCCCAGCUUGGCUGUUUUUCAAAAUGUCCAGAUUGCUCACAUUAAAUCUGAAUAAGCACUACCCACUAGUUUAAUCAGAGUCAUCUGGUACACCUCUAAUUAGUGUUAGUUAAAGUUGAAGUUCAUGAUAACAAAAUGUGUUAAAACAUAACACACAAAACUUAGUAAAAUCCUGAACAGAAAUAGGUAGGAGGCAAAAUCUUGUGCAAUUAUACCCCCCAAAAAUUAGAAUAUACAAGUUAUGAUGACAAUAACACAAUGGUGAAGAAAAAAAGUAAGACCAAGUUUCUGACAAAUGUCAUGAAAGCUAGUCUUUAUCUGUUUUGUCCAUUAAAGCAUGCGCAUGUAUUGUAUAUAGGUGUGGAUUCGAAUCGUGAAUGAGCUUUAAUUGCUGGUCCUCAUGACCUAACAACUGGUUGUAGUUGUACACUGUGCAUGAAUUGUAAAAAACUUGUACACAUCUGUGUGUAUUUCAGAAAAUUAUCAAAUAAACAGGUGAUGUUUUUGUUGCAUCUU